UACGUAGGGGGCAAGCGUUGUCCGGAUUUACUGGGCGUAAAGAGCGCGCAGGCGGUCGAUCAAGUCGAGUGUGAAAGCCCCCGGCUCAACUGGGGAGGGUCAUUCGAUACUGAUCGACUCGAAGGCAGGAGAGGGUAGUGGAAUUCCCGGUGUAGUGGUGAAAUGCGUAGAUAUCGGGAGGAACACCAGUGGCGAAGGCGACUACCUGGCCUGUUCUUGACGCUGAGGCGCGAAAGCUAGGGGAGCAAACAGG
rnacentral:rRNA from 1 species